AGAGCGAACGCUGGCGGCAGGCCUAACACAUGCAAGUCGAGCGCCCCGCAAGGGGAGCGGCAGACGGGAGAGUAACACGUGGGAACGUGCCCUUUGGUUCGGAACAACACAGGGAAACUUGUGCUAAUACCGGAUAAGUCCGUAAGGAGAAAGAUUUAUCGCCAAAGGAUCGGCCCGCGUCUGAUUAGCUAGUUGGUGAGGUAACGGCUCACCAAGGCGACGAUCAGUAGCUGGUCUGAGAGGAUGAUCAGCCUCACUGGGACUGAGACACGGCCCAGACUCCUACGGGAGGCAGCAGUGGGGAAUAUUGGACAAUGGGCGCAAGCCUGAUCCAGCCAUGCCGCGUGGAUGAUGAAGGCCCUAGGGUUGUAAAGUCCUUUCGACGGGGAAGAUAAUGACGGUACCGUAGAAGAAGCCCCGGCUAACUUCGCGCCAGCAGCCGC
rnacentral:rRNA from 1 species